GAUGAACGCUGGCGGCGUGCUUAACACAUGCAAGUCGAACGAUGAUCCGGUGCUUGCACCGGGGAUUAGUGGCGAACGGGUGAGUAACACGUGAGUAACCUGCCCUUAACUCUGGGAUAAGCCUGGGAAACUGGGUCUAAUACCGGAUAUGACUGAUCAUCGCAUGGUGGUUGGUGGAAAGCUUUAUUGUGGUUUUGGAUGGACUCGCGGCCUAUCAGCUUGNGGUGAGGUAAUGGCUUACCAAGGCGACGACGGGUAGCCGGCCUGAGAGGGUGACCGGCCACACUGGGACUGAGACACGGCCCAGACUCCUACGGGAGGCAGCAGUGGGGAAUUUUGGACAAUGGGCGCAAGCCUGAUCCAGCAAUGCCGCGUGAGUGAAGAAGGCCUGGUU
rnacentral:rRNA from 1 species